rnacentral:lncRNA from 1 species
UUAAUUAAUAUAGCUAUGUUUUAAUUUAAUUUAAAAUAAAUUAAAACAAUAAUUUUAAAAGAUAUGUAAACUAUGAUUAGUUUUAAUUAAAAACAUUUGGUUGAAUGAGUUAAUGUUUGAUAAAAUAGUGUGAGGAUCAGAGAUAAUUUAAGGAAAAAUUUGUUUGCUUAACCCAUUUAAGUUUUAUGUUUAACAUUAAAUUAAAAAAUGAGUGAGAAAGUGUGAUUUGGAAAAAAAUAUGAGAAAAAUUUCUUAAACUACAAUUUUCCUAAUAAAUGUUUUUAUGUUUACCUUAACCAAAUUUAUCAUUAGUUUUAAAGAGAUAAAUCCUACUAUAUAAUAAUUGAGAAACCACUUAAUUGGCUUUUGAUUAUGUGUCGUUAAGGGACUGACUG